AAUUACUUGAACCUGGGAGGCAGAAGUUGCAGUGAGCUGAGACUGUGCCAUUGCACUGCAGCCUGGGCGACAAGGGUGAAACUCUGUCUCAAAAAGAAAAAAAAAUUCCAACAUCAUUUUUCACAGAAAUAGAAAAAAAAAAAUCCUAAAAUUAACACGGAACCACAAAAGACUCCGAAUAGCCAAAGCAAUCUUGAGUGAAAAGAAUGAAGUCGGAGGCAUCACACUGCCUGAUUUCAAAGUACAGUCAUGUGUAGCUUAAUGACAGGGAUAUGUCCUGAGAAAUGCAUGGUUAGGCAAUUUUGUCAUUGUGCAAACAUAGAGUAUAUUACACAAACCUAGGUAGGAUAGCCUACUACACACCCAGACCUUUGCUCCUAGGCUACAAACCUGUACAGCAUGUUACUGUACUGAAUACUGCUGGCAACUAUAACACAAUGGUAAGCAUUAGUGCAUCUAAACACAGAAAAGGUACAGUAAAAAUGUGGUAUAAAAGAUAAAAAACAGUAUACUUGUAUAGGGCACCUACCACGAAUGCAGCUUGCAGGACUAGAAGUUGCUCUGGGUGAUUGAGUGAGUGAGCGGUGAGUGAAUGUGAGGGCCUGGGACAUUACUGUAUACUACUAUAGACUUUAUAAACACUGUACACUUACGCUACACUAAAUUUAUAAAAAACGUUUUUCUUUCUUCAAUAAUACAUUAACUUUAGCUUACUGUAACUUUUUUACUGUAUAAACUUCUUUAAUUAUUUUGAGAUGGUGUUUCACUCUUGUUGCCCAGGCUGGAGUGCAAUGGCACAAUUUUGGCUCACUGCAACCUCCACCUCCCAGGUUCAAGCGAUUCUCCUGCCUCAGCCUCCCAAAUAGC
rnacentral:lncRNA from 10 species